GUUAAAUUACAGUCUGGGAACAAGCCAUGUCCCACACCAGGCAGAUGCUGGAGAGGGUGGCAUUGGUUGGGAGGAGGGCAGGCAUCUUGCUGAAGAGGAAGAGGAAGGGGAGGGAAGCAUUGUCUCAGCAGAAGAAUGUUAUUCUCCAGCCCUGAACACUCCACAGAUUCCAGUGACAGAUGGAUCUCUCUCGUGCGCACUUGCUCUUUCCUUCUCUGUAUUUUUGUUUUCGACAUGUUUGAUCCAAAGCUCUGAAGCUUCUCAGAGGGAACCCAGGAAAGAAGGAAGGGAAGGAGUAGAAACCAAGGGAGCGUGAGCGACACAGGAGGCAGCCCUGCCUUGUUCUUCCAAAUCACACUGUGGAGGGGCGGGGGAAGACUAGAGGGGGAGGACUUGG
rnacentral:lncRNA from 1 species